rnacentral:lncRNA from 1 species
UUCCUUUUGGCCAAAAGCAAGACACUUGGCUGAGUCCAAAGUCAUGGUUCAGGGAAGCGCUUUCCACCUGUAUGAGGUCAAAGCAAAACUCACAUGGCCAACCCAGCAUCAGUGGAAGAGCCUUCGGGACCUACUGGAGGCUGAUCUUGUAUGGAUGUCACUUCCACUUGAAGAAACGUGCUUCCAUACUGUUCCAUCAUUCUGUGCAUUCUGUGAGAUAUCAAGUCAUCUUGAUAUGCCAAAUAUACCAUUUCACAGUCAUGUGAUCAUGUGGUGUCCCACGAUCAGAUGUCUCUGAGAACCUCUCAAUAGCAGAAUCUAAAUGGAACCUUGCUGGCACGGAAGUCUGGGGCUUUCCACCCUUGCAAUAUGGAGAAGUGCUUAGAAGGCAGGAAUGGUACUGAGUUUCAACAAAGAAUGACACAAUGACCAUGGAGAAAAAUAAGGUCCCAAGAACUGGACUUCUUUUCAGAAUGUCUCAAACCAAAUGAACUAAUUAUAACCAAACGUAAACUCAAUUCUAUAGUUCUAGAUGGGUGAAUGUGGG